CGAAGUCAAAAAGGCGAAAUCCCGAACUUGCACUUUUUGCCGAAAUCUCCCACUAACCUCAAUUUUGGGAAAUGACCCGAAAUCUGUGAAAAAUCUUAAAUUAUUGAAUGUCACCCAAAAAGUAAGAGAUAAAAGUUUGAUUCUAAGGUCAAUAUCGACUUUGGAAUUGAUCGUAAAGAUUUUGGGAAAUGACCCGAAAUCUGUGAAAAAUCUUAAAUUAUGGAAUCUCACCCAAAAAUUAAGAGAUAAAAGUGUGAUUCUAAGGUUGAUAUCGACUUUGGAAUUGAUGGUAAAGAUGAUACGAGUUAAUGUAAAGUAAGAUAGUGGGUGUGACAUAACUUUUUUGCUUGCCUGUUCAAAUUAUCUUACUGGGUCAAUUAUCCAGGCAUCCAUUCUCCCUUUUUUCCUCUUUCCUCCUCCCUUUUUUUCACCCUAACUUCAAAAACGGAGGAGGAAAAAAGGGAGACAAGAAAACAAGAAAACGCAUGAAAAAGAAAACGGGAAUUGAAAAAAAAGAGAGAAAACGGACGUAGAAAACGGAAUGCUCUUUUGAGGAAUAACCAAAGUUUGUGUGUGUGUUUGUUGGUUUGUUUGUGUUAUUAUUUACAAUUUUUAACUUAAUAUUUCGAUGUUUAGUGAUGUUUUUUUUGCGAUGUUUGUGAUUAUUUUUUUCUUUACUAAUCCGCCCCGCCCCCUUGGCUUGCGCGCGCGUUUGUGUGUUCGUGUGUUUGUGUCGGUGUUUAUUUCCAUCAUUUUCAUUCCCUUUUAAUCGUCCUUUUUAUCUUCUCUCGUUCAUCUCCUUUUUAUAAUCAUCUUCUUCCCUACCCUGCCCUUCUUGUGUGAGUGUGUGUGUGUGUGUGUGUGUGUGUGUGUGUGUGUGUGUGUGUGUGUGUGUGUGUGUGUGUGUGUGUGUGUUACGGCCACGAAGACUGAUCUCAACCUGUUUUUAUUUAUUUAUUUAUUUUAUUUGUUUGUUAUAGAAGAAGAGACUUAGAAAAAUAUCGGAAACAAGAAAAAAUAAACAUUCGAAAAGAAGAAAAAUAUUGGAAAAGAAGAAAAAUUAAUGUAGAGGAAAAAUUAAACAUUCUCAGAAAAGAAGAAAAAAAAACAUAAUUGAAAAGAAGAAAAACAAGCAUCGUCACAGAAGAAGAAAGAAAAUAACAAAAAGAAGAAAAAGACAGAAAAUGGGAAACUAACAAAAAUAAUGAAAAUAAUAAUAAUUUUUUAUUUUUUUUACCCAAAAUCGAAGCCUAAUACCAAUAGUCUACCAAAGAAGGAAACAAAAAGAAUAAUUAUACGGGGGGAGAGAGAGCAAUUAAGAAACGUAAAUAAGACAAAAUUAAACGUACGAAGAAAACGAGGGAGGGGAAGCAAAGGCGAGGGAGAACGGAGCGCUUAAAGGGGGAACUUGAUCAAUACGGGGAAAAAAAUAAAAAGAAAUUGCAGAGCGUUUGAAGGAAGGAAGGAAGGAAGGAUAAAGCUUGAUAAACAUAUGAGAAAGGAAAAGAAUGGAAUAAUGUAUGAAGGGAGUGAGAAAAUACGUGAUAAAGAUGAAUAUAAUAGGUAGAAAAUUGAAGAUAUCUUGAUCAAUAUGGAAAAAAGUAAAAAGAAAUUGCAUAGCGUUUGAAGGAAGAAAGGAAGGAAGGAUAAAGCUUGAUAAACAUAUGAAUAAGGAAAAGAAUGGGAUAGUGUAUGAAGGGAGUGAGAAAAUACGUGAUAAAGAUGAAUAUAAUAGGUAGAAAAUGGAAGAUAUCUUGAUCAAUAUGGAGAAAAAUAAAUAUAAAUGAUUGCAUAGCGUUUGAAGGAAGGAAGGAAGGAAGGAAGGAUAGAGAUUGAUAAAACAGAUGAAAAGGCAAAGAAAUUAAUAAAGAAAGAAAAGAAAAGGAGAAUUUGAGAAAGGUUGAAAAAGUAUAUAAAGAAAAUUGCAUAGCGUUUGAAGGAAGGAAGGAAGGAAGGAAGGAUAGAGAUUGAUUAACAGAUGAAAAAAGGUUAAGAUAUUAAUAAAGAAAGAAAAGAAAAGGAGAAUUUGAGAAAGGUUGAAAAAGUAUAUGAAAAAAAUUGCAUAGCGUUUGAAGGAAGGAAGGAAGGAAGGAUAGAGAUUGAUAAAACAGAUGAAAGAGGUUAAGAUAUUAAUAAAGAAAGAAAAGAAAAGAGGAAUUUGAGAAAGGUUGAAAAAGUAUAUAAAGAAAAUUGCAUCGCGUUUGAAGGAAGGAAAGAAGGAAGGAUAGAGAUUGAUUAACAGAUGAGAAAGGCAAAGAAAUUAAUAAAGAAAGAAAAGAAAAGAGGAAUUUGAGAAAGGUUGAAAAAGUAUAUAAAGAAAAUUGCAUAGCGUUUGAAGGAAGGAAGGAUAGAGAUUGAUAAAACAGAUGAAAAGGCAAAGAAAUUAAUAAAGAAAGAAAAGAAAAGAGGAAUUUGAGAAAGGUUGAAAAAGUAUAUAAAGAAAAUUGCAUAGCGAAGGAAGGAAGGAAGGAAGGAUAGAGAUAGAGAUUGAUAAAACAGAUGAAUAAGGUAAAGAAUGGAUUAGGUAUGAAGGAACUGAGGAAAUUCGUGAUAAAGAUGAAUGAAUAGAAAGAAAAUGGAAGAGAACUUGAUCAUUAUGAAGAAGAAGUUCAAAGAAAUUAAAAACUGUAUUAAAGAACAAGAGAAAUACAUGAUAAAUAUGAAUAAAAACAAAGAAAAUGAGGAAAAUGUUAGAGAGAGAGAGAGAGAGAGAGAGAGAGAGAGAGAGAGAGAGAGAGAAGAGUAAAAAUUGAAAAAGUAAAAAAUAAGUGGAAAUAUGAUUGAAAAAGUUUUUAAAAAUCAUGAAAAAAAUACGCCAUAAAGUGGAAAAAGUUAAAAAGUUAAAAAUUAUGAAAGUUUGACGAAAAAGUAAAAAAUAUGAGAAAAGUAGAGUUAUGAAGAAAUGUAAAUAGUCAAAAAAUAAAUAUGAAAAGUAUUGAAAUUAAAACAAAAUUGCGCCGAAAGUGAUGAAUUAAAAAAAAAUGAAAUUGAAAAGUUUUAAAAAUAUGAAAAGAUUAUGAAAAAAAUGAAAAAAUGUAGAGUAAAAAAAAUAAAUAUGAAAAGUAUUGAAAUUAAAACAAAAUUGCGCCGAAAGUGAUGAAGUAAAAAAAAGUGAAAUUGAAAAGUUUUAAAAAUAUGAAAAGAAUAUGAAAAAAAAUGAAAAAAACGUAGAGUAAAAAAGUAAAUAUGAAAAGUAGUGAAGUUAAAACAAAAUUAUGCCGAAAGUGAUGAAGGAAUUUAAAAAAAGUGAAAUUGAAAAGUUUUGAAAAUAUGAAAAGAUUAUGAAAAAAAAGAAAAAAAGUGAAAUAAAAGAUGUAGAAUAUUAAGGAACUGAAAAAAUACACGAUAAAGAUGAAUAAUUGAAAGGAGAAAAUGAAUUAGUAGAAAAAAAAGACAAAAAACUAAAUUAAACUAAAGAAAAACUAAAACAAAACACAUAAAAAAAUAGACAAAAUUGUAUUGCAUAUGAAAGAACAGAAGAAAUGAAUUAUAAAACUGAAUAAAUAAGGGAGAUAGGGCAGAAAACGGAGAAUAGGUCAGACACAGCAAGGGGGGGGGGGGGGGGUGGGGGCUAAAAUAAUUGCAGCCUCAGAUAAUAAGAGCCUAAGGAAGCUAUUAAUGAUACGGAUUAUACAAAAAAAGGGAAAGAAAAUUGAAAGUAAGAAGGAAGAAAAUGCAAAAUACAAGAAAAUUCAUAUAUUCCCAAAAUUGACUUUACCAUUACCAACACAGAAACCAACGGUAGCGUUUUCUCCUCAACUCUUCCCCGACUCCCUCGUGUUCUGAGCUCUCCUCACAACCGAGAGAGCCUGGGUUCGAUUCCCGGGCGGAGUGGGAAAAAUUUGGGCGGCUUUUCCGAUAGCCUACGCCCCUGCCCACCCCCCAGCAGCGAAUGGGUACCAGGUAUUAAUCGGGGGUUGUGUCCCGUCUCCUGGGGUCUGUUCCCUUCUGUCUCUCUCCGGCAUAUGACCACAGAUGUUGCGCCGACUAAACGAAACUUUCCAACUUUUUCCUGUCUCCUGGGGUCUGUUCCCUUCUCCUAUAAUUCCUUCCCCUUCUGUCUCUCUCCGGCAUAUGACCACAGAUGUUGCGCCCACUAAACCAAACUUUCCAACUUUUUCCUGUCUCCUGGGGUCUGUUCCCUUCUCCUAUAAUUCCUUCCCCUUCUGUCUCUCUCCGGCAUAUGACCACAGAUGUUGCGCCCACUAAACCAAACUUUCCAACUUUUUCCUGUCUCCUGGGGUCUGUUCCCUUCUCCUAUAAUUCCUUCCCCUUCUGUCUCUCUCCGGCAUAUGACCACAGAUGUUGCGCCGACUAAACCAAACUUUCCAAAAACUUUCCAAGAGAGAAGAAUAAAUAAAAAUAUGAAGAAUGCCAAGAAGAGAGGAAAUAGGAAGAAGAAGAAAGAAAUAGAGGAGGAGCAGGAGAAGAAGAGAUAAGGAAGAGGAAGAAGAGGAGGAAAAGGAUGAAAAUAAAAGGAAUUGGAAGGAUAAAGAAAGAGAAGACAGGAAGAAAAUAAUAAAUAGAAAGAGAACGAAGAGGAAGAGAAGAAAAAAAAGAAAUAUACAAAAGAAAAGGAAAAGGAAAUAAAAAUAGAAUACCAAAUAAAGAAGAGAAAAGGAGGAUAAUAAAGAUAAAGAAAAGAAUAAGGAAGAAAAA